AGUUGUCGGCUGCGCGCAGCGCGGGCUCUCAGGCCACAUCCCCUCCCCCCAUCCCGGCCGUGGCCUCGCGCAGUCCGCGGGCGUCGCUUCUGCAUGUCGGUGCCCAGGUGAGGACGGGAAACUGGCCGCGGGCCCCGCGAGAAAUGGAGUCCAGGAGGGGGCGGGCGUCAUGAGGCCGCCAGGGCAGGUCUGGCCUCUACCGCCACCCUCACUCCCACCUCCAUUCCGGUACCCGCAGCUGGCCUCCGGCUGUGGGCCGGAUAAAGUGGGGGUUACCCUGGGGACGUACUGUUGGAGAAAUACGGUACGGUGUUUCUGCCUAGCGAUCACGGUUACCCUCGGGAAAGUGCAUGCUCGCUGCGCUGCCUCGGAGCCUCCCAGCCUCCAGGACGGCCUAGGGCGUCUGACCCCUGACUCGAAUCAGUGACACCCCCAGGCCUGGGCCACCUUCCUGGGGACCGACCUGUGCUUCACUCUCAGGCUGCUGUGGUCCGCAGCAGUCCCGGGACGCUUUGGCACUCCGCGCGGAGGUGGGAAGAGCAAGGCCCAGAGGAACUUGCCCAAGAGGUGGCAGUGAGCCGACGGUGCCACGCACCCUGCUAACUCCCUUUAACUCACACUCCUGUUGGAUCCUCAGCCUACAGAUGAAGACAUGGACUGUGAGGGGCCACGGGUCCUCCCCGGGUGACUCGGCUGGCGCUGUUGUUAUCACCACGGGAAUAGCAAACCUGUAAAACAAGAACCAACCACUAUGAAAAAGGAGCAUUCAGAGAACAGGAAAGAACAUUCGAAAACGUAAGCGUUCACAGUAAUCAUGAAAACCCAACCAAGACUGAAUAGCAGAAUGGACACACCUGAGAACCAAAUCAGAGCAACAGAUGGAAAUUAUGAGAGAAAAAUGCCAGAGCCACGGUUCAAUGGAAGGAAUUGAAUUCACAUGCAGAAAUGAAGAUGGAUCAAAAUCACCUUCCCAGUGAAAUCCGGCCCCUCCUCGCUCAGGCAGAGAGAUGUUGAUGGAUAACAGGGAGUUGGCCCUUGUCUUCUAUGCUGCAAUUAUCUGUCUUGCCCUGAAGAGGAACUCCUGUGUCAGUCCACAGGCCUCCGAGCUUCUGACUCCCGCGUUCUGGAUGCCUGUCAACCACAUCUCCCGUUUUCGUACAUCAGCCAUUAUUCCAGUAUUACCGCCUGGACUUUGUUGAUUUUUCUUUUUAUCUUCCUUGUCCACGUGCAACAGAUUUGAGGCCUUCUUCAUCUCAUCAAAUAACGAAAUCAGCCAUUUUCUGAUAUUUACUUCUCUUUCAAGUAAGAUAUUUAUCCCAAGGGGAGAACCAUUUUUUUCCCCCUGCUCUCAUUGAAAUUCAUCAAAACUUUGGAACAAUGCUAUGCCCUGGGAUCAGCCUUUCCAGGUGACUUCAUCUGUAUUCGUGCCUUGUCUGCCGUCUUUUUGCCAGUGACUUGUAAAUUUCCGUCUCCUGCCGGGACCUCUCCCCUGAAUUCCCAUCUUUUGCACCCAGCCACCGGUUUGUAGCUCCACAUGAAUGUCUCUGAAACACCACCAACCCUCGGUGAUUGCUCUCCCUUGACCCCAGCAGGCUCACCCCUACUCUCUGUGGAACCCGGGGUGAGAGGGAAACAGAGGCGCCGUCUACCUGCUUCUCCUCCCGUCCCGGCCCCGUCCAGAGCUUCAGGGCUAGCACACACGUGCAUGAACACUAGGGCCCAUGCUCUGUCCACACCCACAUCCACAUCCACAUCCACAAACAGCACCCUUGCUUCUCCUGGGCCUCAGGGCGCACACUCCUGUAAUGCACCCUCCCUCCUGGAGGGGCAGGUCUGGGGGCAGGCUCCAAGUCAUCUGGGCGGGGAACUCUGAGGUCCAGAUCCUGAAAAGUCACCCCAACACACUCUUCCUGGCCCCGCAGCCAACCAUCUACCCGGACCUCUAGAUUUUCUUUCAGCCUCUCCCUCCCUAGUCCAUGGGGUUUGUCCACACCACCUCCCUCUCAUCCAGAGGCCAGAGCCACGGCUCUUCCCACAUGUGCUCUUGUCUGCUCCAAUCCAUCCCAAGUUUUGAAAGAUGUUAAUGAGCUGAAGUCCCCAGGUGAGUGGUGUCCCCUUGCACAACACAGACUCCACCCCCUGCGGCCACCCCACACCCCCCCUUACUCUCGAGGUCAGCCCAUUGACCAUGGCAAGCGCAACGUCAUCCCUCCGGGUCUCCCGUCCAGACGUGGAGCUGCCUCUCCCCUUGAGUCUGGGCUGGCCUGUGACUCACCUUGGUCCACAGAACAUGGCAGCAGUGAGGUUGUGCCCCUCUGAGCCUGGGCUUCCUAAGGCCCUGCAGCUCCCACCCACACCCCUGCCCAGCUUCAGCGGGACAGGCCCGGGCUGGCCCACAGGGGAGCAGGGGGGAGCCCUCUCACACCCAGGACCUCCGAGGCCCCCAGCUCCAACAACCUGCCCGCUGACCUCAGACACGCGAGCAAGCCCUGCCGGGCCCAGGUGGAGAGUCACAGAAUCACAAGCAAAUUCAGUGGUUGUUGUUUUAAGCACUACAUUUUGGAGCCAUUUGUUACAGGGCAAAAGCUGACGGAAACUUCCACGUAGUUCCUUGAGCUCCCCGGGGGCCUUCCUGACCUCUGGCCUUUCACGUGGGUCACUGCCCCUCUGGGUCCUGCUUCAUCCUGAUCUGCUGGCUCGGCUCUGCUUCAGCCUUCCGACUUGGGCUUUCCCGCUGUCCCUGUCCCCAACGUCUCUGCUCCUCAGAGCCCCAUCAUCCCUGCCACCUCUCUGCCCUCCUCCUUCCCGCCUCAGCUUCACCCUCUCCAGCUCACAUGGACCCUGGAGGGGCCUCCCUCUAGUGCUUCUGUCCACGAAGCCCUUUGCUCACUCCCAGUGACAGUCAUCAUCUGAUUCACAUCUCUCUGCCCUAAGGGGCCAUGAGCUCCAUGGGGACAGAGACCACCGCAGACCUCCAGUUCCUGCCACGUGCCCGGCAGAUAGUAGGAGCUCAGUACACGUUUGCUGGGUGAAUAAAUGACUGAACAAAUGA